rnacentral:rRNA from 1 species
GAUGAACGCUGGCGGCGUGCCUAAUACAUGCAAGUCGAACGAGAGGCGGACGGGUGAGUAAUGUAUGGGGAACUGCCCGAUGGAGGGGGAUAACUACUGGAAACGGUAGCUAAUACCGCAUACCAUCGGAUGUGCCCAGAUGGGAUUAGCUAGUAGGUGGGGUAAAGGCACACCUAGGCGACGAUCCCUAGCUGGUCUGAGAGGAUGAGCAGCCACACUGGGACUGAGACACGGUCCAGACUCCUACGGGAGGCAGCAGUGGGGAAUAUUGCACAAUGGGCGCAAGCCUGAUGGAGCCAUGCCGCGUGUAUGAAGAAGGCCUUCGGGUUGUAAAGUACUUUCAGCGGGGAGGCGUUACUCACAGAAGAAGCACCGGCUAACUCCGUGCCAGCAGCCGCGGUAAUUC